UACGGAGGUGGCAAGCGUUGUUCGGAAUUACUGGGCGUAAAGGGCGCGUAGGCGGCUAGGCAAGUCAGAUGUGAAAGCCCCGGGCUUAACUCGGGAAUUGCAUCUGAAACUGCUGGGCUUGAGUUCUGGAGGGGGUAGUGGAAUUCCCAGUGUAGCGGUGAAAUGCGUAGAUAUUGGGAGGAACACCUGCGGCGAAGGCGGCUACCUGGACAGAAACUGACGCUGAGGCGCGAAAGCGUGGGGAGCGAACAGG
rnacentral:rRNA from 1 species